UUCCUCCCUUCUAGCACAUAACUAAAAUUGGAAUAACACAGAGAAGAUUAGCAUGGUCCCCACACAGGGAUGUCACACAGAUUCAUGAACUGUUCCAUGUUAAA
rnacentral:snRNA from 1 species